rnacentral:rRNA from 1 species
AGAGUUUGAUCCUGGCUCAGAACGAACGCUGGCGGCGUGGAUAAGACAUGCAAGUCGGACGAGAUUUCGUCCUGUAGCAAUACGGGAAGAAGUCUAGUGGCGAACGGGUGCUUAACACGUGGGCAAUCUGUCUUAAAGUGGGGGAUAGCUCGGCGAAAGCCGAAUUAAUACCGCAUGUGAUUAGAGUGGACAUCCAUUCGAAAUUAAAGUCGGGGCAACCUGACGCUUUUUGAGGAGCCCGCGGCCUAUCAGCUAGUUGGUGAGGUAACGGCUCACCAAGGCUUUGACGGGUAGCUGGUCUGGGAGGACGACCAGCCACACUGGGACUGAGACACGGCCCAGACACCUACGGGUGGCAGCAGUCGAGAAUUUUUCUCAAUGGGGGAAACCCUGAAGGAGCGACGCCGCGUGGAGGAUGAAGGUCUUCGGAUUGUAAACUCCUGUCAUUGGGGAACAAGGUGCAUACGUUAACUGCGUGUGCAUUGAUAGUACCCGAAGAGGAAGAGACGGCUAACUCUGUGCCAGCAGCCGCGGUAAUACAGAGGUCUCAAGCGUUGUUCGGAUUCAUUGGGCGUAAAGGGUGCGUAGGCGGCGCGGUAAGUCGGGUGUGAAAUCUCGGAGCUUAACUCCGAAACUGCAUUCGAUACUGCCGUGCUCGAGGACUGGAGAGGAGACUGGAAUUUACGGUGUAGCGGUGAAAUGCGUAGAUAUCGUAAGGAAGACCAGUGGCGAAGGCGGGUCUCUGGACAGUUCCUGACGCUGAGGCACGAAGGUCAGGGGAGCAAACGGGAUUAGAUACCCCGGUAGUCCUGACAGUAAACGGUGCACGUUUGGUGUGGGAGGAUUCGACCCCUUCUGCGCCGGAGCUAACGCGUUAAACGUGCCGCCUGGGGAGUACGGUCGCAAGAUUAAAACUCAAAGAAAUUGACGGGGGCCCGCACAAGCGGUGGAGUAUGUGGCUCAAUUUCGAUGCAACGCGGAAGAACCUUACCAGGGCCUUGACA